rnacentral:tRNA from 1 species
GUAGAUAUAGUUUAAACAAAACGCCAGACUGUGACUCUAGUGAUAGAGGUUAAAAUCCUCUUAUCCACA